rnacentral:snRNA from 10 species
GGAUAUGAGGGUGAUCUGGCUGCAACAUCUGUCUCCCCUUUGAUUGCCAGGGUUGAUUUGGCUGAUCUCGCUGGCUAGGCAGGUAUGCCCUUCCUCUUUUACUGCUCCAUGUACAUCCCUCCUGAAGCUGCAUUCUCAAUCAUAGAGGAUGACCAUCCCCGAUAAAGACAGGUCAAGGGUAUACGAGUAGGUGUAACUGCGCUCCCCUGCUAGAAACUCCAAACAAGCUCUCAUGUGCUUAUUGGCCAUUUGCAUAUCUUCUUUGGAGGAAUGUCUGUUCAAGAAUUUGACCAUUUUUU